rnacentral:rRNA from 1 species
GAUGAACGCUGGCGGCGUGCCUAAUACAUGCAAGUCGAGCGAACAGAUGAGGAGCUUGCUCCUCUGACGUUAGCGGCGGACGGGUGAGUAACACGUGGAUAACCUACCUAUAAGACUGGGAUAACUUCGGGAAACCGGAGCUAAUACCGGAUAAUAUAUUGAACCGCAUGGUUCAAUAGAGAAAGACGGUUUUGCUGUCACUUAUAGAUGGAUCCGCGCCGCAUUAGCUAGUUGGUAAGGUAACGGCUUACCAAGGCAACGAUGCGUAGCCGACCUGAGAGGGUGAUCAGCCACACUGGAACUGAGACACGGUCCAGACUCCUACGGGAGGCAGCAGUAGGGAAUCUUCCGCAAUGGGCGAAAGCCUGACGGAGCAACGCCGCGUGAGUGAUGAAGGUCUUCGGAUCGUAAAACUCUGUUAUUAGGGAAGAACAGAAGUGUAAGAAUCUAUGCACGUCUUGACGGUACCUAAUCAGAAAGCCACGGCUAACUACGUG